rnacentral:rRNA from 1 species
AUAGAGACUCAGAGCUGCAUAUCAAUAAGCGGAGGAAAAGAAACUAACAUAGGAUUCCCUUAGUAACGGCGAGUGAAGCGGGAAGAGCUCAAAUUUGAAAUCUUCAAGGUUUUACCUUGACGAAUUGUAGUUUAAAGAAGUGUUUUCUGUUAGAGUUUGGUAGCAAAAGUUCCUUGGAAUAGGGACAUCAUAGAGGGUGAGAAUCCCGUAUUUGACCUUAUUAUUCAGCUGUGUGAUACACUUUCAAAGAGUCGGAUUGUUUGGGAAUGCAGUCCAAAAUGGGUGGUAAAUUUCAUCUAAAGCUAAAUACUGGCGAGAGACCGAUAGCGAACAAGUACCGUGAGGGAAAGAUGAAAAGAACUUUGAAAAGAGAGUUAAACAGUACGUGAAAUUGUCAAAAGGGAAGCGUUUGACACCAGUGUUGUUUUCUCGAAAAUCAAUUAAGAAUGGCCUGAUUUUGUGUUGUAUUGACCUUAUCAGCUUUCUGCACUUUUUUCGUAGUCUUUUUAAUGCACUUUUCGGUUAACAAGUCAACAUCAAUUUCUUUUGUUGUAAAAGAGUCAUUCGGAAGGUGGCUUUCUUUUCGGAGAAAGUGUUUAUAGCCUUAUGCCUCUACAAUCGGAGAGAUUGAGGUCUGCAGCGUAGAUCCUUCGGGGUUAGAUACACUUUGUGCUAAGUUAGUAGCCUUUCAUAGACAACUUGUUGACUAUGUACCAGUCAUGUAGGCUUACUCGCUUAGUGCUAUUUUACCUACGCUUAGGAUGUUGACGAUCAGCUGAGCGCG